rnacentral:lncRNA from 1 species
CCGUCACUGCAUCAGGUUCGUUCUUUUCAUGUUGUUCCCUCAACUCCGAGCAGAAUAGAAAGGGGAGGGAGAGAGGGUGCCGUCGGGCAAUGGAUACUGGGGGCGCGGCCGAUUUGGCUGCAGAUGAGGAGGUGCUAGGCUGCUGUGGCUGCCAUGGCUGGGGGGGAGGGGGACGACAGCCGUGGCUCGGCUGGGGGAGGUGCGCGCCCGUCGUGGCUGAAGACCAGACGGUGGGAGGGGUGUGGCCGCCGCCGUGGCUGGGGACCAGACGCGAGAGGGGCGUGGCCGCCGCCGGGCAAUGGGUUUGUCGAGGAGGGAGGCGCUGGAAGGGAGGAGCUGGGCGCUGCUGCUAUAGAUAUGACAUGCAUCCAUGGUGUGGCUUGCUGGAGCUGGUGCUACUGCCCGCUUCUACUAGAGAGAACAGAGAGAAAGAGAGUAGAGAUAUGAGAGAUUGAGAGAUGCUGUGAUUGCUGCACAUUAAUAUAGAUGUAUGGUGCUUCUUUCAUGAUGUAUGAUGUUGUAUGAUGUGUUUGCUGCACAUUUAGAUAUAGAUCAGAGAGAUAGGUUGCUACUAAUUGCUGGUGCUAUUGCUAGUAAUUUGCCACUGAGCGCUGCUGCUAUUUGAUUUCAUUUGUAUUUUUUACUGAUUGCUAGUGACUGUUGCAAGUUUAUUUGCUACUAGGAGAUAACAUUUACAUAGCUAUUUGCGACUGAUUGUUGAUAGUUAUUUGCUACUGGUUGCUGCACAUCUAUAUGAUGUAUGGUUCAUUCGUUUUUGUUUCAGGUUUUGGUAAUGGACGAUCAGAGUUAUUUUGAACUUUUGCAAAGUGAUGUCGGAUUGAAUGAUUUGCACUGGACCAAAGAAGAACAAAUGGAUCUCGAAAAGGAUGAAGAAUAACAAACUGAUCUCGAAGGGCCUGCAGAACCUACCCCUCCUAUGACAGCAAGGUCUUUGAAAGCAAAGGGGAAGAAAUCAAGCGCCUCGAAACCAAGCGCUUCGAAGACAGUGAACUUGUUUGUCUCGAAUAUCACUCUGAGCUUGAAGAAACUGAGUCAAUGUAGCCGCCUCUUGGUGAGAAGGUGUCACUAGUUCUCCCAUGUUAUCGUAGCGGUAGUCUACACGAUUUCCACGCUCAUCUUCUAUUAUCAUGUUAUGCAGGAUGAUACA